rnacentral:rRNA from 1 species
UACGUAGGGUGCGAGCGUUGUCCGGAAUUAUUGGGCGUAAAGAGCUCGUAGGCGGUGUGUCGCGUCGGCCGUGAAAACCUGGGGCUCAACUCUGGGCGUGCGGUCGAUACGGGCAUCACUGGAGUUCGGCAGGGGAGACUGGAAUUCCUGGUGUAGCGGUGAAAUGCGCAGAUAUCAGGAGGAACACCGGUGGCGAAGGCGGGUCUCUGGGUAGUAACUGACGCUGAGGAACGAAAGCGUGGGUAGCGAACAGG